GCCCUCGUAGUUCAAUGGAUAGAACGGCGCUCUUCUAAGGCGCAUAUGUAGGUCCGAUUCCUGCCGAGGGCA
rnacentral:tRNA from 1 species